GGGGCGGCAGCGGAGACAGAGAGGGAGGGGGGAGCCCCCCAGCUGGAGUCGGAUGAAGAGCCAAGCAGCCCCCCUGGAUGUGACUUGGAAGAGUCCUGCUUGCAUUUCCUGCUCUGUGCGAUAGCCCUCUUGUGAAUUGGGUCCAGGUACCAGUCAGGUGAGAGGAGCAACGGCCUCUGUGGGUGUCUUCACUUCCGUGCCGAAGGCCAUCUGUUUUGGGUGUUCGUUUAUUGCGUGUGAUGAAAGAUGGGGAAACUGAGGC